rnacentral:rRNA from 1 species
GACGAACGCUGGCGGCGUGCUUAACACAUGCAAGUCGAACGAUGAACCCGGAGCUUGCUCCGGCGGAUUAGUGGCGAACGGGUGAGUAACACGUGAGUAACCUGCCCUUGACUCUGGGAUAACUGCUAGAAAUGGUAGCUAAUACCGGAUACGACCCUCGGUGGCAUCACCAGGGGGUGGAAAGCAUUUCGGUCAAGGAUGGACUCGCGGCCUAUCAGCUAGUUGGUGAGGUAACGGCUCACAAAGGCGACGACGGGUAGCCGGCCUGAGAGGGUGACCGGCCACACUGGGACUGAGACACGGCCCAGACUCCUACGGGAGGCAGCAGUGGGGAAUAUAGCACAAUGGGCGCAAGCCUGAUGCAGCAACGCCGCGUGAGGGAUGACGGCCUUCGGGUUGUAAACCUCUUUUAGUAGGGAAGAAGCGAAAGUGACGGUACCUGCAGAAAAAGCACCGGCUAACUACGUGCCAGCCGCCGCCGUAA